rnacentral:rRNA from 1 species
CUACGGGUCGCAGCAGAGGGGAAUAUUGCACAAUGGAGGAAACUCUGAUGCAGCAACGCCGCGUGGAGGAUGACACUUUUCGGAGCGUAAACUCCUUUUAUAUAGGAAGAAGAUGACGGUACUAUAUGAAUAAGCGCCGGCUAACUCCGUGCCAGCAGCCGCGGUAAUACGGAGGGCGCAAGCGUUACUCGGAAUCACUGGGCGUAAAGAGCGUGUAGGCGGAUUAAAAAGUCAGAAGUGAAAUCCUAUAGCUUAACUAUAGAACUGCUUCUGAAACUCUUAAUCUAGAAUAUGGGAGAGGUAGAUGGAAUUUCUGGUGUAGGGGUAAAAUCCGUAGAGAUCAGAAGGAAUACCGAUUGCGAAGGCGAUCUACUAGAACAUUAUUGACGCUGAGACGCGAAAGCGUGGGGAGCAAACAGGAUUAGAUACCCCAGUAGUC